GCGUCGUUCGUCUAAAGGUCAGGAUAUUCGGCUUUCACCCGGAAGAUGUUGGGUUCGAGACCCACACGACGCGCCA
rnacentral:tRNA from 1 species